GAUACAAUAACUCACUAAAGAAAAUAAACAGGAAUUCAAAAAAUAAGACGAACAAAUGGAACAACAAAACUUAAAGCGGAGAGAAAACACUUGGGUGUUCCCGCAUUAUUACCUAAGUACGGAAAAGCAACAUAUUGUAGCAUGUUUAAGGAAUAGAUAAAAAUCACCAACAAAAUAUUACUUAUCUACAUAGCCAUUUUGUUGAUGUGUUCUGAAAUGAUAAGAGAGUAGUGUUGAGACGGCAACUAUUUCAAUUUGAAUUUGAUACCAGAGACUUGGAUAUGGUGCGAAUGUCUCUUGACACACAUUUUGCCUUCUAGCCAGUAAGAUCAUUUGCAUCUAGAAAAUGUAUUUCUUGUAUAGCGGUCACGUGGAAGGACAACAGGGACGCUGAGUUUACUUGAUUUUGAUUAACCGACAUACGAUCAUACUCGAAACUCAUGAUUUAUAUUUGUUUGAUUUCUUGAUGAAUGUUCCUGUAAAGGUACUAUCUGCAAUGUUUUAUUUACAGAGAAGCUCCUUAUAUUUGUUUGGUCUAGGAAAAUCUGUUCACCUCACAGAAAUAAGAGAUUGACUACAUUUCUGUGAAAAUGUAAGAAAUUUGUUUUUUUGCAAUUGUGCUAACUGAGAGAGAAACACUAAUUAAUCACUCAAUAAUAAAUCUUCCUGCAAGGUUACAAAGUGUUAGUAACGCAAUUGAGUUAGUGUAACUGUAUUUGAACGACGUUUAUAUGUAAAUAUUUACAUGAAAUGAAAAAUAAAUUUGACUUACGUAACAUACGCAAAUAGACGUACCACGAAAACAGACGAACAAAAUGUAGUACUUACAACUAGUUGUCUCAGAAGUAACAGAGUUAGUUAAAGGUUAAUAAUGACGUACGUACAAAACAUUAUUUUGACUUGAAUAUUCAUAAGAAGAUCCUUUGGAAGCACAGAACGAAACCGAACCAAAAAACAGGUUUGAUUGAUGUAAUGAAAUGUGAAAUACCUUUCCCUGGCACAGGCGUAGGCGGAACUCUAUUAUACAAAUGUUUUGAAUGGACUCAUUGGUUUAAAAUGAUUUGAAAAUAUGACGUCACAUCACUGAGUCCACAGAGAGAACACACAUCAAUCACGGCAUGCAAAAUACUGGAAUAGUUUUUAACAAAUCUGUUUCAGCUACCGGAACAACUGGUAUUAAUCCCAAACGUUUGAUGUCUUCAAGAACACGGGUGUUUAGUAAAACAUAGUGAAAUUACAUACUUGAAACCAGCACGACUGUCAAAGAAAAUUGAUUGGAUGAUCUUAAGAGAAUACUUUAGGAAAUAAGCUGGCAUUUUUCAAUGGAUUAAUAAUGCAAGAGAUAUUGUUUAUUGCAUUGCAUGCCAUUUUACGUUCUGCUGCGAUUUGCAGAGAUAUCUCUCUAGUCGUAUUUGUUAUUGUUUUGUUCUGACAAACAGCAUUCCGUAAUUGAUAUACUAGCAUUUAUGCUUUGAAAGGAAGCAUUUAUAGAAACAUAUUCACAGAAGAACAGACGAUAAUAGACUUCGCCAUCAUGACAUAAUUGAUAACAUAACAUGUUCAUUAUUGUAACAAUUUCUCCUAUAUUCUGAUUGCUAUUUAGUAAAGUUUUGAUGUCUGGUA
rnacentral:lncRNA from 1 species